CACGUGACUAACCUACCCUUGAGUGGGGGAUAACUUCGGGAAACCGAGGCUAAUACCGCAUAAUACCUACGGGUCAAAGGAGCAAUUCGCUUAAGGAGGGGGUCGCGGCAGAUUAGUUAGUUGGCGGGGUAAUGGCCCACCAAGACAAUGAUCUGUAUCCGGCCUGAGAGGGCGCACGGACACACUGGAACUGAAACACGGUCCAGACUCCUACGGGAGGCAGCAGUGGGGAAUUUUGCGCAAUGGGGGAAACCCUGACGCAGCAACGCCGCGUGGAGGAUGAAGUCCUUCGGGACGUAA
rnacentral:rRNA from 1 species